rnacentral:rRNA from 1 species
UACGUAGGGGGCAAGCGUUGUCCGGAAUUAUUGGGCGUAAAGAGCGCGUAGGCGGUCCGGUAAGUCGGUUGUGAAAGUCGGGGGCUCAACCCUCGGAUGCCGGUGGAUACUGUCGGGCUUGAGUACGGAAGAGGCGAGUGGAGUUCCUGGUGUAGCGGUGAAAUGCGCAGAUAUCAGGAGGAACACCAAUUGCGAAGGCAGCUCGCUGGGACGUUACUGACGCUGAGACGCGAAAGCGUGGGGAGCAAACAGG